rnacentral:rRNA from 1 species
AUUGAACGCUGGCGGCAUGCUUUACACAUGCAAGUCGAACGGUAACAGGCCGCAAGGUGCUGACGAGUGGCGAACGGGUGAGUAAUGCAUCGGAACGUGCCCAGUCGUGGGGGAUAACUACUCGAAAGAGUAGCUAAUACCGCAUACGAUCUAUGGAUGAAAGCGGGGGACCGUAAGGCCUCGCGCGAUUGGAGCGGCCGAUGUCAGAUUAGGUAGUUGGUGGGGUAAAGGCUCACCAAGCCAACGAUCUGUAGCUGGUCUGAGAGGACAACCAGCCACACUGGGACUGAGACACGGCCCAGACUCCUACGGGAGGCAGCAGUGGGGAAUUUUGGACAAUGGGCGCAAGCCUGAUCCAGCAAUGCCGCGUGCAGGAAGAAGGCCUUCGGGUUGUAAACUGCUUUUGUACGGAACGAAACGGCUCUGGUUAAUACCCGGGGCUAAUGACGGUACCGCAAGAAUAAGCACCGGCUAACUACGUG